rnacentral:antisense_RNA from 1 species
GCUGCCGCGGCUCACCACCCACUGGCUGGUCCCUAGCCCGCGCCGAGAGUCCCCCCGCGCAGAGUACCCCCGAGUGCCCUUCUCUCCGGGCGCGGGCAGGACGCAGGAGCAGGCAGAGUCGAAAAGACCCCGGCCAUGGAUGGGAGACCUAGGGCAAAGACGGAAAAGAGUGCUUGGCACCAGACAGCUGCUCAAUGAGGAACACAACUGCAUCAUGGAGAAUCCCCAGCAUCCUCAAACCGUUAACACCU